UUCGAAAGCAUUGGUUUCUCUAUGACCAGACAUAUAUAUAUAUAUAUAUAUAGUGUACCAAAUCCAAUCGCUAAUCUUUGGUAGGUCCGAGGCUAUAGUAGAAGAUACUUCCUCAAGGUGUCACGUAGUGAAACUAAACAGGAAUCUGCGUAGUUGGGAAGCAAACUUCUUAAAAAUACAGCCACGCCAUAUACACACAUACAUAUGGAUACACGUACGCACGCACACACACACAAUUACACAAACACAUAUCACGUGACCUACCAGAUGAUCAGAUGUUGUUACACAUCGCGGGUCACGAUGCGCUUUGCAUCGUUUUAGCCUUUGAAUAAUGCCACCCCACUGGCUAGGCAAGCAGGCCAAAAUUCCCACCGGAUUGGAAGGGAGGCUGGAGCAACUUGAAAUGAAAUGUUUUGCUCAAGAACGCAAAACACCACUCGAUAGGAGAUUCGAAUCUACGAUUUAUCGAUCGUGAGUGCAACAGCCUAACCACUGGGCCACUUGUCUUCAUGUGUGUGCGUGUGUGUUUAUGUAUACGCACAGACACACACAUGAAAGGCAAAAGAACAAAGUUACAUUAUUGCAUUCAUUAACUUACAGCUGUUUCUCAGGAACUCUGCAACCAGAAGGGAAUGCCAGCACGAAAUCUUGCAGCUUCAUCAGAGUAAUACAUUAUAUAACAAAUAUAUUAUACUCUAACAGCAGUUAUAGGUCUUGCAAUAGUUAAGUAGACCCAUAUUAUAUGUAUACAUGAAUACAUACAAAUAUACAUUUAUUAUAUAUAUAUAUACAUACCAAUUAACUUACUUUUAUGUAUCUGUUUCCAUCUUUUGUUUCCUGUAUUUCCUGUCUUGUAGUUAAUACUUACGCACAUAAUUGCAUAAAAACACACAAGCAAGCAUAAUUGCAUAAAUACAUGUCAACGCAUUACUGCACAAAUGAUUUCGACAACAGAACUACACAAAGAACAUGCAUCAAUGCUAACAUGUUUACAUGCAUCAAUAAAUACGCAUGAUAUUCGCCUGGUUUAUUAAACACACUUGUCUUGUAAAGAGUUAGACCACCCAAUGUAUGAACAGAAUGUUGUAACUGUUAGACAUGUCCCUCGGGUAUAUUAAAAUAUUCUGAUUCAGGAUUACGCAACGAAAUGAAUGGUAUUUUUUCAUGCUGCUGCGAACUGAAUUUUCUAUCUCAUAACUAUGAAGAUAUUGCCUUCCGUUAAGAUCCAAGAACUGUAUUUUAUCAGUUGUAAUAAUAUUUAUGGACAACUUAUCUUCGAGUGAACGUUCAAGAGUAUCUUUUACCACAUCUUACCAUGAAUAUUCAAUUUGAUUAUUGAAUGGCUUUCGUGUAACUUUAGUGGAGGACCACAUUUCUGACUUUAGAACAUCUUAUUAGGUGUGGACGCCCUGAGAAGUUUGUGUCUGUAAUCCUUCUUCCUCAAGGCGAGUAACGAAAUAUAGAUUAUAUUUCGAGAAUCAUUAAUUUUACUUAGUAAUCAAUAAGUUGUGUUCAUUUAUAUCUACAGAACAGAUAUAAAGCUCGACGUUUAAAAUAUAGUAAUAUAUAAAUAUAUAAACAACAUAUAAAAAUAUAUAAAUAUAUAAGAGAAUCAAUGUUGCAUAUAUAACACCUUGAAUUUACGCUUAAACUCGUAAAACAUUUGGUAUAAAUUUGUUAAAUUAAAAGUUUGGGGUAAUAAAACAUACAAGGACAUAUUAAAAUGACGAAUUAAAAUUCCAGAGAAAAAUACUGUACUUGAAUCCUCUCAAAACGAAUUGAAUCUCUGGUCUGUGGCCUACAUGGACUCGGCGUUGUGUAAAGAGCUUUCCCAGGACGCUAUCACGCAGGAAAUCCGACGUAUAAAUAAAACACAUAUACUGUGUAUGUGCGUUUGAUAAUGCUUAUAUUACUAGAGCUGCUUUUAAUUCGAUAUAUAUAUAUUUAUAUAAAACACGACCAACAUUAACUUCUGGUUUCAAAUCAGUGCUGAUGCUACUGCAAGAGACGCUCUUGUCUUGUAUCAGUUAAAAACAUCGGUUAUUACAUCGCAUAUCAAAUAGGAACAUGGUACUGAAAAGCGUUUGGUGUACAAAUUUCACACUUCAUAUUGACGUAUAUACUUAAAUAUUUUUACCCUCACCUAUUGUGUAACACUCCUCUUUCAAUCUAUCUUCACAAAAAACGUUUUAUUCUUAACCAUAAAAUUAUAGCUAGAUUGCCUAGAUGCACAAUGAAGCUUUUUUAAUAUAUAAUGUUUUGAAGUUUGAUUUUUUGACACCACAAUUUGUAGCUUGUUUCAUGUCGAAUGUGGUAAACAUAGAGAUAAACACUUAGUAACCAAAUCCAUGAAACAGUUUUAAUUCGUAAUUGAAAGAAAUUCAUUACUCUUAUGCUAUAAAUAGCGCUUCUCGCAUACCCAUACAUUCUCGUUCCUGCAAUAAAUAGACUUUGAACCUAGUAAAAAGAUCUGAAUAUUUCUUGCUAUCAAAAUAUAACAAAAUAAACGUUACUACCUUUUUUCCACUUCAAGAUACAUUUAAUAAAUGCUGAUGCUGAGAAUGAGGGUUGCAAUGUCUGUGCUCGAACUGAUAAAUAGUUCACAACUCGUUUGUAUUUGUUUUUAUAGUAGUUUUAUUUUAGAUAUAACGUUGAUAUUCGGUUCCGUACAAUCAUGAAGAAGAGUCUAUCCAUCCAUCCAUUUUCAAUCCCCGUUGUUCCUAGAUAGGCCAUGGGUGUUGAGUUCACAGGUGUCUCCUCCACAGGGUUCAAUCAGAAACAGCCACCGUUAGAUUUUCCGCCAAGAUUUCCAAGCGUGACCAACUGAGAUUAUAGAUAUUAUCCAACCACUUUGUUCUUCGUUUAUCCCUAGGUCUCCAACCGAUUGGUACGGCUUGAAGAGUCCAUCUUGUGAUUCUUUCCUGCCGCAUUAUAAUCAUAAUUCCGUAGUAUCAGCGCUGUGACCGCUGAAUGUGGAGGAUUAACUGUUCGACCUGGAAAGACUCCUUGAUUUCCGAGCUACGCGCCCUGUCGAGAAACAUUACUCCAGACAGGGAGGAAUCCAUUUCUGUUGCUUGUAUUCACAAUCGUACUCUUUCGGUCAUUACUCAACAUUCAUGACCAUAGGGAUGGAAAUAGGCACAAUGGGUCUGGAAAAUGCUAAAAUGCUGCUGUUUGCUGUAGCAUAUGUUGUAUUAAAGCAAUUUUUUGAUAUUAAAAACAAUACAAAAUAUACAAAAAGCCACCCACCACCGUUGUCAUAGUCUGUGCAAUUAACUUUUACUGCAACAAACGCGCACUGCCUCCAUCUUAAGUGCGUUUGCAUUCGUUUUAACGAAAUUUCACCAUCAAUGAACAGACCUUCUCCGUUAGAUCGAACGUACAUGCCAUUUCCUUUCUUGCUGCUCCAAUACAUUAACUUUUCUCUUGAACUUUGCAAAUUUAUAAAUUCACAUAUCUCGAGGCAUUUCUUUCAUUAACUAGCAAUAUGUACGUCUAAUUAAUUUACCUUUACAUUAAAUAAUCUUGUCUGUAUUAUGUUUAUGUUUACAUAAAAAUAUUAUCUGAUAGUAAAUUCUUACUUCGAGAUUUAGUUUAUUUACAAAUACGCACAAACAUACAUACUCAUACAUACAUUCACACACUAACUACACACAACUAGAUAGAUGAAUUCAUAAACUAUCAUUUUUCUAAUUGCUUAUUCGUAAGUUUUGUAAUUAGUUACUACACGAAAACACACGCACGCACGCACUUAUUUCACAUAGGUUCAUAAUAGAUGUUAUACUUGAAAAUAUAUUUAAAUAUAGUAUGGAUAUGAAUUUAUAAACACGCACAUACACAAGGACAAACGUAUAUACAUAUACAUAUAUAUAAUAUAUAUAUAUAUAUAUAUAUAUAUAUAUAUAUAUACAUACAUAUAUAUAUAUAUAUAAUAUUUAUAUACAGUAAUAUAUAUUAAUAAAAGAAGAUAUAUAUCUAAAUAUAUAUAUAUAUAUAUAUAUAUAUAUAUAUAUAUAUAUAUAUAUAUAUAUAUAUAUAUAUAUAUAUAUAUAUAUAUAUUAACAGUUAUCACCAAGCUAAUGUGGCAGUCCAUAAAUAUAGGACGGAAGCUGCCGUUGAUUAGCUCCAAGAGGCCAUCGCCUCUAGCUCGCUAUAUGACACACGAACCUGUGGCCCUUAUAACCUUCGAACAGGGGAGGUCAGCCGCUUCCCUUUGCUGUCAGACUUCUGCAGACAUGUUUCAGGGUAGUUGCCCUUUAUCAAUGCAGAGCAGCCGAACCCAUAUUAGCUUGGUGAUAACUGUUAAUAGCCAGUACCUCUGCUGUAGUCUCCUUUAGAGAGACUUAGAAAUAAUAAUAUUUCUAUUAUAUAUAUAUAUAUAUAUAUAUAUAUAUAUAUAUGUGUGUGUGUGUGUGUGUGUGUGUGUGUGUGUGUGUGUACAUGUAUGUAUAUAUAUAUACAUACAUACUUACAGACAUACACAUACUUUUACAUAUAUACACAUAUAUAUACAUAUACAUAGAUAUUACCUUUACGUAUUACUAUUCAUGUACAUAUGUGUAUAUAUAUAUAAAUUUAUAAUUAUAAUUAUAAUUAAGUGUGCCAGAUAGUACCAGCGUUGUUAGAAAUGACAGUCGAAAAAUACUCAAAUAAGCCAUAAUAUCACUGAAAAUUUCACAUGCUGACCAAAUUGAGGAACUAGUAAAAUGCCACCCUACCAUUGCGGGAGAAAGACGCAAUUGAAGUUACAGAUAUACCAUUUCACGUGAUUUCGAACUCUGAGAUAAUACACUAAGUCCUCAUCAGUGGGUCUCACUGCCUGGGUUUAAACUAAAAACCGCUCCGACAUGCUUGUUAAAAUCAUUGAAAGACUAGCGCGAAAUUCAAACGAUAGAAAUGUAUUAUUAUGCAUAAAUAAAGAUAUUAUUAUGCAUAAAUAAAGAUAUUAUUAUGAAUAAAUAAUAAUAAUAAUAAUAAUAAUAAUAAUAAUAAUAAUAAUAAUAAUAAUAAUAAUAAUAAUAAUAAUAAUAAUAAUAAUAAUAAUAUGCUCAAUACCAUAGAUUUGCUUGCCAGUUGUUUGACCUUAACCCGUUGAGCAUGUCCCUUAGUGGCUGACGAUGUGUGCAUCUCUGAUCACGAGCAGAAGUAGUGGGGGAGCAUCAUAGCCAUGUGUUGAGAGGGAUUCUUUGGGGUUUGAAUAAUUCACCUCUGGAAAUAGGGUGGUUCUUUCAACAUCCUUAAACAACCCUUAUUCAGGGACCAUUUGAGCGGAUUGGGCUACUCAACCUGAAGAAAAUUCUAACUGGGCCCCACCUGCAAGUUCAUGUGCUGUUUGUCUUGAUAUGAGAUCACCAUGUCGCGCACAUAUGGUUGUGAUGCAUGUGCCUGGUGUACCCUUAUCAGACGGGUAGUCAUGAUGGGUAUAUUGGGCUUCGUAUAUUUUACCCCAGUGUCACUUUGAUGGCAUGAACUGCUCUCUCACUCAAUAAUAAUAAUAAUAAUAAUAUAAGUGUCUAGCAAGCAUAAAAACCAAAAAGGUAAAUUUAUAAUUUAUAAUAAUAAUUAUAAUUAAGGGUACCAGAUAUUACCAGUGUUGGUAAUAUAUAUAUAUAUAAGAAUAAUAUUUUUUAUAAGAUUAAAGAUCAUAAACAAUCACCGUUCAUUGACUCAGUUAAGUAGUCUAAUAUCGGGGCAUUUAAGGGGUUUGCCGUACGCAUGGGACGGCAAACCCCACUUUUUUUCUGUUGCGGGCUUACAUGCUCCAAUAUUAGACUAUUUAACUUCAAUGUAUGGUGAUCGCUUAUAAGUUAUAAAAUAUUAUUAUUAUUAUUUGUAAAUUGUAAAAUUCAGCACCACUUGCCAAAUAAUCGCAGAAAACAAGUAUAUAUAUGUGUGUGUGUGUGUGUGUGUGUGUGUGUGUGGAGGUGCGUGGCUUAGUGGUUAGGGCAUUCGGCUCACGAUUAUAAGGUCAAUUCCCGGCGACGCGUUGUGUCCUUGAGCAAGCCACUUUAUUUCACGUUGCUCCAGUUCACUCAGCUGGCAAAAAUGAGUUGUAUCCGUAUUUCAAGGGACCGGUUUUGUCACACUGUGUCACGCUGAAUCUCCCUGAGAACUACGUUAGCGGUACACGUGUCUGUGGAUUGCUCAGUCACUUGGACGUUAGUUUCACGAGCAAGCUGUUCCGUUGAUCGUAUCAGCUGGGACCCUCGUCAUCGUAACCGACGGAGUGCUAUUAAUAAUAAUAAUAAUAAUAAUAAUAAUAAUAAUAAUAAUAAUAAUAAUAAUAAUAAUAAUAAUAAUAAUAAUAAUAAUAAUAAUAAUAAUAAUAAUAAUGAUAAUAAUAAUAAUAAUAAUAAUAAUAAUAAUAAUAAUAAGAUGUGUAUAUAUAUGCAAAUAUGUGCAUAUAUACACAUACAUAUAUAUAUCGGCAAUACAUAAACGUACACAUUCGCACAUAUGAGAAUUCGGAGUGGCUCUGGUAAGAAGUAUAUGAAUAGAUAUAAGUAGGUGAAUGUAAUGUUGCGAUUUAGUGUAAGCAUCUGCGUGCACACGUGUGUGUUUAUACACUUUUUUAGGCGUAUGUAUAUGCUUACGUGCUUCCAUAUGUUAGUGAGUGCGUGUAUAUGAGUGUGUAUGCCGUGUGUGUGCAUAUGCAUGUGUGCGUGUGUCUGUGUGGUGUGUGUGUGGUGUGUGUGUGUGUGGUGUGGUGUGUGUGUAUGUGUGUGACUGAGUACAGGAGACAAGAGACGACAGUAAAAGAUACUAACGUGCUGACAAAUCAUUUUCUUUCAUCUCUACGAUGUCGCAUGUAAAUCUAGCUGCGGUUGUAUGUGUCACUGUAUUUUCAUAAGCCCACUCCAUUUCUACCCUAUAUAUAUAUAUAUAUAUAUAUCUGUGUGUGUGUGUGUGUGUGUGUGUGUGUGUGUGUGUGUGUGUGUUUUGGAUAGAAAUGGGGUGAGCUUAUAAAAAUAUAUACAUAUAUAUAUAUAUAUAUAUAUAUAUAUAUAUAUAUAUACAGGCACAUAUAUAUUCGUGUGUGUCUGUGCAUGCGUACGUGUGUGUAUAUGUAUACAUGUAUGUAAGUAUGCUGUAUGUAUGAAUAUACGUUCGUACAUUAUUUCUGUAUGUAUCUGUAUAAUUAUGUGUGUAUGUAUGUCAGUCAAAAGUCAUUGAAACGGCUAAGCAAGGAAAUAUAUUUUUAGAUUUCGGCAUAACUUCUAUUUAGCCCACGACUGAAAAAAAACACUUCUCUCACACAUACACGCAUACACAAAUAGACAUACGCACACAGACACACACUCCUUCAGUGUAAGAGUAGAAAAAAAGUCAUUUUGAAGCUAAAAGACAACUAAAACGUCCCACCCAAAUAUGGAUGAAAAGUCAACGCAGAGAACGAUGAAACUAUAAUUGCAUUCACUUCAUCUGAUGACUCAUAUUUCGCCUUAUGUAAUUCCGUCCCUCACCUCCACUUUGCUGUUUACAGCCUGUAGGAGUUUUUAAAAAAGUAUAUAUGUUCAACAUAUGUUUAGCCUUUUAUUUUAAUCUGUUAAUGUCUAUAUGAAUGUAUGCAUGUUUGUAUGUAUGUAUUAUUGGGUCGACUUCCAUCAUAUGUACACAUAUAAUGCAAAUUAUAUAUUUAUACACAUUAUUAUUAUAUAUACACUUGUGUGUGUAUACAUAUGUAUACAGACAUAUAUAUAUGUGUGUACAUAUGUAUGUGCAUGUGUGUGUGCAACACAUGAAAGUACUAGUUUAUUUCAAUAUUGUAAAAUUGUAAAAAUUGUAAAUAAUAACACGUGAAAAUCAGACUAAGAUGGAAUUUCAUUGAUUAACACAGACACACUCAUAUAUAUAUAUAUACAUACAUGCAUACGUACAUACAUACAUCCAUACAUCCAUACAUCCAUACAUACAUACAUCCAUACAUCCAUACAUACAUACAUAUAUAUAUACACACACUCUCUCACACACACACACACACACACACACACACACACAUAUAUAUAUAUAUAUAUAUAUGCAUAUAUGGGUACAGGACGUCACCAACAGUAAACAACAUGAAGUACGAAAACAAAUGAGUUCAAUACGCAAACAAUGAGAGAAACAAAUGGCAACGGGACAAGUGACAUAAAGUACGACCCUUCAUCAGUUUAUCUACUCUUCAUUUCGAGCACUGAACGACAGUAUGAGUCUUCGAAGACAGUUGCUCCCAUAAGUACCAAAAUAAAAUGUUGGAUUUAUGGAGGGUCAAAGUUGGGAACAAAAACAGGACAAUGGAAAGAUACAAGGACACCGAACGAAAACAUGGAGGAUCGUUAGACCAGAACGAGGGUAAAAUAGCGAACGCUGGAGAAAUAUUUUUGACAAGAGAAAAGAUAGAGGAGAGAUAGGAUACGUCCAGUCCUUAGGACAGUCCUGAAAGAAAAGAAAGAUGAUCACUUGAGGAUAAGAAAGAUGGACGAUGGUCACGUGUAAGCAACGAGAGAAAUUAAAGGAGAAAGAAGGGGAGAGACAAAUAGAAAACGGUAAAGGGGGAAAAAGGGGAAUUAGAGAAAGGAUGAGAAAGAAAACGAUGGGGGAGAAAACAGUAUAGAGCAGAGUCGCAUGUGUAUAUAUAUAUAUAUAUAUAUAUAUAUAUAUAUAUAUAUAUAUAUAUAUAUAUAUAUAUAUAUAUAUAUAUAUUUGUAUGUAUGUAUGUAUGUGUGUGUGUGCGUGUAGAAAUAAGUAUAUAUAUAUCAUAAAAUGUGAUUUCUCAAGCUUCUACAUUAUUUCCAUAUUUCAAGUUAAAACACUCUUCCUCGAGCCUUAUAGCCUUUAAUAUUUUGCAAUGACAUCUUUCGUGCAAAUCGUCCAUGAAACGUAAGGUGCAAUUUCAUGCACAGACUUGCGAGACUCAUACAAUGUACCUCUACAAUGUUAUAGUCAAGCAUAUCUCGGAUUGGAAGAGCUGGUAUUUACAUAAUACCCCAAAGUACAAGCGUUAAUUCUAAAACCUACCUGGAUAUUUUUAAACAUUUUCCAUCUUAUAUAAUCAUCCAUAAUUACACGGUAUUCCAAGAGAAUACCCCGUCUCGUUAUUCUGUAAAUUGCAUGUGAGAUAGGCAAUGACAAAUGAUUGUACCGUUCUAGGAAAAUGAACAUUAUCAACACCCUUUUUCAAAUGAAAAGGGAAUGAAAAAGUUAACUUGAAACUGUAUUAGAUUAGAAAAACGGUGUGGAUAAAAUCUGUAAUGUACAUACAAACAUGUAGCGGUACGAGUUGUACUAUUUUGUAUUAAAGUAACUUGUUUAUUGAAAACAUAGAGCACAGUUAGGUUGCUGACGGCAGAUAGUCAGACUCAGUGUUUCAACCUCCUUUUCUCUCCUCAGUGAUGAAACUACCCGUCUGUCUGGACAUUCUGAGUUAAGCCAACAAAUAUUCGUUCCGAUAUAGAAAUUGGUAAGAGUAUUAUAGAAAUCAGAAAUAUUAAAUUCCUAAAUGUCUCAAAGAGACAUGAGCGGUGGUGGAGGGAUAGAGUGGUUGUAUACUGUCAACUUAACGUGAUAGUCCCGUAUGGGAAUUACAGCACCGCUGUUUAACCCUAGGAAGCAUCGAACGCUUCCUGUCGGUUUUGACACGUCACGUUAAGUUGACAGUAUACAACCACUCUAUUAUAGAAAUGUUUGAAUUGAAUUCUAUACCUAAAUCAAUUCUAAAAUUAAAUACGACAAUUACUGAAUUGUUAAUAACCAACUGACCAUUUACAAUAGUUUUCUUUGUCACUGUCGUUAUGCGUUGUUUAUAUACAUACAUACAUAUAUAUAUAUAUAUAUAUAUAUAUAUAUAUAUAUAUAUAUAUAUAUAUAUACGCAUAUAUAUAAUAUGUAUAUACAUAUGCAUAUACAUACUUGAAUCUAUAUAUUGUGACAUAUACAUGCAAGCAUAUAUAUUUAUAUAUAUAUAUAUGUACAAACAUAUGUAUAUGCAUAGAUAUAUAUAUACAGAGAUAUAUAUGCAUAUAUAUAUACAUAUAUAUAUAUACAUAUAUAUACAUAUAUAUAUAUAUAUAUACAUACAUAUAUAUACAUAUAUAUGUACAUACAUAUAUAUAUGCAUAUAUAUACAUACAUAUAUAUAUAUACAUAUGUAUAUACAUAUAUACAUAUAUACAUGCAUGCAUAUAUAUAUACAUACAUAUAUAUGCAUAAAUAUAUUUCUAAGUAUCAGGAAGGAGUCUAUAGGUAGAAAUCAUGAUUCUAUCUUCAGUCUCUUAGAUUCUAAUUUCUGUCCAAAAUAGGUGACAUAGUAUUCCUUCCACGUACCAAGGUAUAUCGACAUGUUUUAUAACCAGCGAAGCAUUAAUACCAUAUUUUGACGAUAUAAUGAAUUAUAAUUUGACCCCCCAGUACUCAACCAUUACUGUAAUAUAUCGCUUCCGAAAGAGGAAAGGACAAAGUUCACACACGACGGAAUUGAACCCAUAAUGUAAAGUAGUAGUAGUAGUAGUAGUAGUAGUAGUAGUAGUAGUAGUAGUAGUAGUAGUAGUAGUAGUAGUAGUAGUAGUAGUAGUAGUAGUAGUAGUAGUAGUAGUAGUAGUAACAACUUUAAAAAUAUCAAGCUGUUUGAAUGCUGAAUUUGUAUAUUGAGAUUAGGCAGUGAAAAGUGGUCAAGGAGAUAAACAAGUGAAUGAGUCUGCUUUCGAUCUAUUGAAAAUCGACUUUAAUGGUUUCGUAUGUUUAGGUUUGUAUUGUAAGAAAUGAAAGAAAAUACUCAAUAAUUAGGAAAUUCAAAAAACGGAAGUAUUCGAUGAAUAAAAUAUUUCUGGUUUGUAAUGUCUUCAACAUCGUAUCCCUGCAAUAUAUCUUAAAUUUGUUUAUUUUUUUGUGAUAUCAUUUGUCUCUUACUUGUUUUGGUCUCCAGACUGCGACCAUGCUGGUGCACCUUCUUAAAGGAUGUAGUUGAACAAAUAGCCCCAUGAUUUAUUUUUGAGCCUGGUACUUAUUCCAUCAACCUCCUGUUGCCAAACAAACCAACACCUGUUGUCAAGCAGUGCUGGGGACAAAGACACAUACACACAUAUGCGCGCGCACACGCACACAUACACACACACACAUAUAUAUAUAUGUAUAUAUGUAUAUAUAUAUAUAUACAUACAUACACACACACACAUAUAUAUGUGUGUGUGUGUGUGUGUGUGUGUGUGUGUGUGUGUGUGUGUGUGUGGAGGUGCAACGGCCCAGUGGUUAGGGCAGCGGACUCGCAGUCAUAGGAUCGCGGUUUCGAUUCCCAGACCGGGCGUUGUGAGUGUUUAUUGAGCGAAAACACCUAAAGCUCCACGAGGCUCCGUCAGGGGGUGGUGGCGAUCCCUGCUGUACUCUUUCGCCACAACUUUUUCUCACUCAUUCUGUGUUGGCCUGCUCGCUUAGCCAGCGGGGUGGCGUCAUUUGAAGGCUAAAACAAUGCGAAGCGCAUUGUGACCACCGAUGUACACCAACAUCUGAUAGCCUGGUCGGUCACGGUGAUCACGGUGAUAUAUAUAUAUAUAUAUAUAUAUAUAUAUAUAUAUUGUCAGGCUUCUUUCAGUUCCUGUCUACCAAAUUGGUCGAACUGGAGUUAUAGUAGAAGAUAUAUGCUGAAGGUGCUUUACAGUGGGACUGAAUCCAAGAUCACAUUGUCGGAAAGGAAGCUUGUUACCACUCAGCCACGUCUGCGCCCAGACUUGUAGACAUCUUACUUGUUUCAUUUAAAAUAUUUAUCAAAUACCAAGUUUACGGGAAAGGAUAAAGAAUCCAUUGUAAAACAAUACGUAGAGAAAUAUUCUUUUCUACUCAAGGCACAAAGCCCGAAAUUUUGGAAGAGGGGGCCAUUCGAUUAUAUCGACCCCAGUACGCAACUGGUACUUAAUUUAUCGAUCCUGAAAGGAUGAAAGGCAAACUCGACCUCAGCGGAAUUUGAACUCAGAAUGUAAAAACAGACGAAAUACCUAUUUCUUUACUACCCACAAGGGGCUAAACACAGAAGGGAGAAAUAAAGAUAGACAAACGGAUUGAGUCGAUUAUAUCGACCUCCAGUGUGUAACUGGUACUUAUUUAAUCGACCUCAAAAGGAUGAAAGGCAAAGUCGACCUCGGCGGAAUUUGAACUCAGAACGUAGCGGCAGACGAAAUACGGCUACGCAUUUCGCCCGGCGUGCUAACGUUUCUGCCAGCUCGCCGCCUUAACGUAGAGAAAUAUUGAAUACAAAAUACAGACAAUGGGCGAGCUGUACUUAGAAAACCGUUCUACAUACAAAAUUAGGAGCAAGCUUGGGUGUGUGGUGAGACUGGCGCACUCAUGACUGUGUGGUAAGAAGUUUGGUUCUUAACUAUGUGACUCCGAGUUCAAUUCCUUUGCGUGACACCUUGAAUAAGUGUUUUCUUCUUUAACCUCAGUCCAACCAAAGCUAUAUGGGUGGAUUUGGUAAAAGGAAACUGAAAGAAGCUCAUCACGUAUGCAAACAAUGUGUGUGCCUUUGUGUCUGUGUCCUCUACCACCGUUUCAUAACCGUUUCUUCAUGUAUUUAUGUCUCCUGUAACUUAGUGGUUCAGCAAAAGAGACCGAUAGAAUAAGUAUCAAGCUUUAAAGAAUAAGUGCACUUUUCUAAACAAAAAUAAGGUGUUUGCAGCAUAUUAGGAGGUCAGGGUACUUGAUUCCAUGCAAAAAAUCCGAGUUUUUUUUCUUUGUGAAAAUCGUGUGUGUGAAAAGGUCAAUGAGAGCGGUGUGAAAUUUCCGAGGCGUCUACCUCACCCCAUCCCGUUUUCCGAACCCAAAAAGGGUUUUGUAGCAUAUUAGGAGGUGACCGGAAUUCAUUCAACGAUAAAAAAAGAAAAUUUCUAAUAUUUCCAGGAUAUGGGGGGGCGAUUUCCCACCCCACCCCCUUUUUCUGAAGAAACAUAAGGAGUUUGCAGCAUAUUAGUAGGUCAGGGUACUUGAUUCCACGCAAAAAAUUUGAGUUUUUUUUUCUUAGUGAAAAUCGUGCGAGGAACCGUAAACUAAAUAUAACUCUGUGCAUCUUGAUCUAGUACAUAUAUAUUUCAUUAUAAUUUCUUUCAACCCUUUUAUAUCCUUUUAAUAUACCUUGCCGUUCCUAUCUAAAUAGGUUUUCAUUACACUACCUAGUUCCUUGAUUGAAAAUGAUAUCAUAUUACACAUUUAGCCAGUCCUUUAAGUACAUUUUAUUCCAUCAUAAUUCCGAUCUUUUUUGGACGUUUGGAUGGGAGGAUAAAUUAUUUAACCUCCCGUCCCAUUUCAUUGAAACAGUUUACAUAAUUAUUUAAUAUAUAUUUUGGUUUACUUAGCAAUCGUCUUUAGAUUACACAGUACACAAUCAUCAUUAGUGCUGCCUAUUUUAUCACCCUUUUUUCAUUAACACAAUAUCAUUUUAUCAUUCGAUUCAACUUAUCAUUAUCACUUCUUAAGCUAAUACGAUUUAUGCUCCUUACGUCAUAGGAAUUCAUCUGUUUAUACAACCAAACAAUUUUUUAAUGUUAUGUUUAUUUACAUGUGUCUUUAUUUACAAUUAUUUAUAUUUUAUAUUCACCUGUAUCAUUUUAUUUGCUAACUCAAAGUUUUUCCUAAGACACAGCUUUAAUAUAAAUUAUUCCUAUUCAAUUCCCUGUCACAUCAUAUUCUUCUGUCGUUAUUUUACAGAAACCAAUUAAUACCAUUUAUCUUCGUUUAACUCAGCAUUAUUCAUAUAAUCACAGCCCUUCCUUAUUUGUUUCUUUUCUUUCAUUUAAUGCCCUCUAAUUUCGCUUCGAUAUUUUACUCACUCUUUACGCAUCUAUAUCUUUUUUCAUUUCUUACUGAUUUCCUCUGUAAUUAACGACUUCCGUUAGAAAAUAGUUAUCCAUUUUCAAGAAUAUUUUUCCAAACUUCAAUCUCUGAUUUUUCAUAUUUACUUUAACAUCUGUACCAUCAUAUCUUCUUUCAGUUACUAUUUGGAUCUUAUCAUAAAGGCUGAGCGGUUUUGUAACAUAUGGUCCGCCCAUUGUCACAAUUUCGUAUACUACAUUUUCAAAUGGAUAAAUUUUUUCUUGCUUUUAUUUUGUAAGUACAUUAAUUUCUUCCAUAUCUUUGAUCUGUGAAAGUUGUUUUGCUUAAAUGAAGCAAAUAAUAUUUGCUCAAGAGUUUAUUGUAGUAAAUUAAUGAUACAAAUCUAUAUUCUAACAAUUACAAAUACCGUGUUUCAGUUGGCAGAUAAAGCAUCCCCGAUCUGAUAACUGACACAUGCUUGACUAUGUCAUAACUGGGAGCAAAGAUUGCAAUGAUUAACCAGUGCUCACAAAACUUCUGAGUGUUAUUUGGAUCACAGAAUGGUUCGUAGUAAUAUAUUUGCUGACCUGACCACUGAUAUCCAGUAUAACUCCGAGAAUAAACGUCUUCUUUAAAAAAAUCUAGAAACGAGAAAAGCUUUGAAAUACAUGUAAAUUCAAAGCUUGUGAAUAUAGAGGAAAGCAAAGAUCCUGACGUUUUGUAGCGUAAUAUUCAUGACAGCAUCAAAUCAUCUGCGGAAGAGGUUCGUCAAACGCAAGCAUCAAGAUUGACUCGAUGAGAACGAUUCUCAAAAUAAACUUCUCCUAGAAACUAUACUCAAAAGACACAAGGCAUGGAUCUCAAAAAAAAUCACCAUCACUCAGAUCCCUAUAUAUCUCCUCUGAGAAAACUACUCAGAUAAAUGGUGUAAGAUGAAAACUUCUUGGUGGGCAAAAACAUCCCAAGAAUUGGAACAGUUUGCUAACUCUCACAAUUUGAGAGCAUUGUAUGACAAUCUGAAAAGUGUAUAAGGUUUUUAAAAGGAUGGUACUGAAUCAAUUCUUUCUAAAGACGGGUCAAAAGUCUUAAGUAGCAACGAUGAAAUUCUGAAAAAUGGGCUGGGCACUAUAGAUCCGUAUCAAAUUAAGAAUCCACUACCGAUCCUAAAGUAAUCAGUAAAAACCUUCAGAGGCCUAUAAUUAAGGAACUUGCGGAAGAUUCCUCCUUGGAAGAGAUACGUAUUGCAUUUAAAAAUCUUUCCAAUGGUAAAGCUCCUGGACAACACUGUAUUCCCAUAGAAGUGUACAAGCAUGGUGGCAGACAAUUUGUAAGGAAGCUGCACAAAUUGAUCUGCUUGAUCUGGGAUGCGUCUAUAGUGCACUUGUGCAAAAACAAGGGCAAGAAGAGUGUAUGUGAUAAUCACAAAAGAAUAAUUUUUCAUAUGCAUAGCUGGAAAAAUUCUUGCCAGGGUUAUACUUAACUGCAUCAAUAUGCAUGUAGUAAACAGCAUAUAUGCUGAAACCCAAUGUGAAUAUCGGGCUGGGAGAGGCACAGUUGACAUGACUUUUACCCUUCGGCAAGUUCGAGUAAAAGUACAUCAGCAAAACAUUAACUUGUACAUGGUCUUUGUCGACUUGAUCAAGGUCUUUGGUACAGUGAAGCAUGAGGCGUUCUGGAAAAUUUUGUCAAAAGUUGGUCUUCCUCAUCAAAGAAUAAGGGCAAUAGUAUCUGAACAAAAGAACGAUGGCAACAACGAUAUCUAGCAGUCAAUAUUCAGCGGCAUUUUCUGUUGCCACUGAAUCCAAAUAGGGUUAUGUUUUAGUACUUUUUCCAUGUCUUUUUCAGUAAUACUCAAACAUGUUUUCAGGGAUUAUCAUGAAGGUGUAAAAUUCCAGUUUCGCGCAGAAGGAUGUCUACUAAGACCUAAAAGGGCAAAGUUUCGGAUCAAAGAAAAAAACCAAGAAAGAGCUUCUACGUGAUUUUCUGUUUGCUGAUGAUUGAAUUUUGAUUUCUCAUACAUUUGAGAGAAUUCAGGAAGCAGUCGACAGCUUUGCUACAGCAGUCUGUGCAACUGGACUGACUGUCAGCAUCAAGAAACUGAGUUUUAUUUCAACCAAAGCCUGAGGCAGAACAUAUUCAAGAUUCAAAUGUGAUGAUUGACAACAAGCCACUGAAAUUGGUCCGGUCAUUUAAAUAUCUUGGCAGUACAGUAAACUUUAAGAAUUCUCUUUAAGACGAAAUCAAUCUUAGAAUAUCUAAUGCCAGAAAUGAUUUUGGUAAAAAUUGCCCAUCGUUUGUGGGACAAACACGGUGUCAGUCUGAAAAAUAAAAUAAGCAUAUACAAACCUUAUAUGUUGAGUACAUUCUUGUAUGAGGAAGAAGCAUGUACUCCCUACAACAGGCACAAAGAAAUUUGAAACCUAUCACAUAUGCGAUCUGUGCAAUAUCUGCAACAUAAAAUGGCAAGAUAACAUAUCAAAUGUCAGAAUCUUAUAAAAUGUAAUAUCUCCAGUAUCAAAAGCACGUUGCUGAGAAUUCAGUGCAGAUAAGUAGGACAUGUUGUUCGAAUGAACGAUGACUGCAUUGCGAAAAUUCUUUUGUAUAGGGAUACCGCGGAAAAGGAAAACUCUCACCUUAGGUAUAAGGGUAAGUUGAAGUGAUCACUAAAGUCUCUACAGCUUAAUUCGGGUAAGUCAUUGCCUAGAUCAGUGAUCCACCACCACCGUCAUCAUUAUCACCAUUAUUAUUAUUAUUAUUAUUAUUAUUAUUAUUAUUAUUAUUAUUAUUAUUAUUAUUAUUAUUAUUAUUAUUAUAUGAAAACUCACAGCUCAUUUUGCUGGGUAUGAUGCAAAGUGUCAGCUGUCCACAGACAGAAGACUAAGGUGACACUUGUUAACUGGUCAUGUUUCAAGAACCCUGCGAAGAAUUAUUGCAGUUCCAAGCAAUGCUGAUUUUUGUAAGUGGUCUAGCUUUACAUUUGUACCACUCCUUUUGAGCCCAGCUGGUAGUUAAGUGCUGAUGCUUCCAAGCGCACCAAUUACUAUUGGUACCACAUCUACUCUCCUCAUUGACCACAACCUUCGUAUUUCCCACUUCAAAUCGUCAUAGUUGUUCAGUUUUUCUUCGUUCUCCUUAAACCCUGAAACUCCCGAACAUGAGCCCCACCUCACCCAACGGACGCAGCUUAAAAUCAUACCCAGGACAUAGCUGUUGUUACAAAGUCCUUCUCGGAAAGAAAUGCACUGAUAUAAAACCCGUUGUUUAACGUAAUUACUGGUUAUCACUCUUAGGCCUGUCAGUAGCUACUAAUCACCGAAACCCAGAGAGUGGUAUUUAUGUUGUACAAGCAUUUAUCAAUGAUGUACAGAUGCCUCUUUGUGAUGACACUACUACCGUUAACGAAAAACGUUAAAUAAUGUGAAAAACCUAGAAAACACUCAAAAGAUGAGAUGACCACAACUGUAACAGCCUUAAAAUAUAUUAUAUUGGAAGUGAAAAUAACUUUCAAUUUUAAAAUUAGUAUUUAUUUCUGGGAAGUUGAGUAGUUAUUUAUGUUUAACUCUAAAAAGUUCAAUUAUCACAUGGUUGACCUUCCCCAUUAUGUCAUUCUUCUACAUUUUUCUCUAGCAGAUCCAGCCAAUGCUGGACCUGCUAGAAAUAACAAACAAAUUUCCCACAAAUCACAACCAACUGCCUUUAAAAAUGUAAGCACGUAUUGGAUGAUGUAAUUUUGUAUGUACUACAUCUGAAGGGAAUGGUGGGAUUUCUAUUGAAACGCCUCUGAACAUACUUCAACUCGAUCAGAGCUGUUUUUAGUUAAACAAUAGCACGAAAAGUUAUCUGAUAUUCUAACAAAACAUAACUAUUAACUCUUCAACCAAAUUUGUGUAACCAUGUUUUUGCUUGUCGCCACCAUGAUAACAUCAUCUUUAUAAGUAGAUGCUUGUUCUGUGUAGUCAGACCUUGAAUCUCACAAGCUGUAUGAGUCAUAUCAAGGUUCACUCUUCUUUCUCUUUAUCUGUACGUGAUAAAAAAACAUACUAACUGUACAAUAACACGGUAAAAUUUUUGAAAUGCGAUAAUAAAUGCCAUUCAAAUACAUUCAACUAUGAUCGGAAAAUGAAGAUUUUCAGGUUUUGUCUCAAACUAGGAAGUUAUUUUUAAGUUGAUUUUUUUCCCCUUUCAACUGAAACUUUCAUAGACGUCUUCUUUAUUUAUUCCAGUCAAGAUGUUCAUAUAUUAUUAUUCAUUUCUUUUUACAACAGUCACACCAACUAUUUCAAGACAAAACAGGAAGCAAGAGUACUUGAACAGACAUAGAAGAACAGGAUGCUUCCACUUUCUUCUCUAUUUACAAUUGAAACGAACAAACCACCAUUUGUAAUCAGCCUGGUGAAAUUAUUUCACCAAAUAACACAUUAUUCAGAAUAUAGAGUUGCAAAACUGUUUCCCGUUAACAGUUUCAUGUGAAGAAAGAAAAUAAGUGAACGCCCCAUAGAAUAUUCACUAAUUAAUUAAAAUACUUAGUGUGAAACAUUCAUGUGCGUAUCGUUGUGCGGUUUUAGGGGUAAGAACAUAAAAUAAUUUUUCAGCUGGCUGAGUCACUAGCGUAUCAGGCGACUGAGUGAAGUUUUAAGAGUCUUUUUUUACUUAAUUCCUGGCAAAGAUUAGCGUAUCUAGAUAUCAUGUAGAGUUACUGUUUAAACCGUAAAGAUCGAGUUCGCAUAUGAUAGAUGCAGGUUUGCUUAGUUUAUUUUGGUCAGUGGAUAUUGUAUCGUGGGAAACAUUUGCGACAUCUAGAUUCAAAAGAAUCGCUCAAUAUUGCUCAAUAUCACUCAGAAAGUAUCACUACACCGUGAUAGAUUCCGCGUAAAGAUCAAUAUAUUCCUAGCAUAGAUAAAUGAGUGAGUGCGCGUACAUUUCUAUAUAUCUACAUGUUUAUAUAUAUACAAAUAUAUAUAUAUGUGUGUGUGUGUGUGUGUGUGUGUGUGUGUGUGUGUGUGUGUGUGUGUGUGUGUGUGUGUGUGUGUGUGUGUGUGUGUGUGUGUGUGUGUGUGUGUGUGUGUGUGUGUGUGUGUGUGUGUGUGUGUGUGUGUGUGUGUGUGUGUGUGUGUGUGUACGUAUGUACAUGUAUCCUGUUUUAUUUUUUACUUGUUUCAGUUAUUAGACUGCAGCCAUGUUGGGGCACCGCCUUGGUGAAAAACAAAAGCUGCUUCUCAAGCGAGUGAGAGCAUGGAUUCCUAACCACUAGAAUUCUUUGGUAUUAUAUAUGAUAUAUAUAUAUAUAUAUAUAUAUAUAUAUAUAUAUAAUACUAAAGAAUUCUAGUGCUUAGGGAUCCAUGCUCUCACUCGCUUGGGAAACAGCUUUUGUUAUAUAUAUAUAUAUAUAUAUAUAUAUAUAUAUAUAUAUAUAUAUGUAUGUAUAUAUAUAUAUGUAUGUAUGUAUGUAUGUAUGUAUGUAUGUAUGUAUGUAUGUAUGUAUGUAUGUGUGUAUAUGUGUAUGCACAACAGUAUCCCCUUUUUCAGGCUGGAGUAAGAAUGUGCGCCUGUGUACAUAAACUGAAAAUCUAAACUCGAAAAUAGUAAAAGGAUUUCCAUUCUGUUUCAAGAAGUCUUACCUCACGAUUUAAAUUUGUAAUAAACAGCUACUUCCAUGUUAAAAUGUCUCUCAUUUCCACAUACUAAAACGUCAAUUUUCUAUUGGAACCGUACAGCUUUAUAAUAAUGUUUUUUUAAAUGUACAACUCAACUGAAGAGGCACAAUGACAGGACCCAUCUUCAGAUUAUUCACAUUAUUAUUAAAUACAGAGGAAAGGCAAUGAGCUGGCAGAAUCGUUAGCAUGCCGGACAAAAUGUCUAGCAGCAUUUCGUCCGUCUUCUCGUUCUGAGUUCAAAUUCCGCCGAGGUCGACUUUGCCUUUCAUCCUUUCGAGGUCGAUAAGAUAAGUAGCAGUUGAACGAUGGGGUCGAUGUAAAUUUUAGGCCUUGUGCGUAUAGCAGGAAGGAUUAUUAAAUACAAAGAAAUGAAAUUGUUUACUCACUUGUCUCUCCUUUCGCCCGUCAGGCUUCAAACCUGAAAUCUGAAUUAUACACACAUGCAUGCAUAAAUACGCCCAGCGGAUAUUAGCUUUAGCUAAAGAUCGGCGAAAAAGAAAAUACCUACGCUGAACUACUGAGGAAUCUACAGUUGCUCUGUCCAGGUUAUAAGUUCAGGUUCAUACCUGUAAUGUAUAUGUGCAGAUUGGUAUGUUUUGUUUAUGUAUGUAUUUUCAUGCAUACAGCUGCAUGUCUAGACAUAUUCAAAUAUACUUAAAGUAUAAAAUUCUGGAAAGUUUUACAGAUUUUUAUAUUUCUAGUGAUGACUUGAAUCUGUAGUCUUCGAAUCAGCUUUCUCCUUACUGGUUUUGAGAAGCCUAAUUUCUCAAGAGUGGUAUUUAGGCAGUGUGUUACAUAUCUCAGUGUCCCAAUAAUACAUACAUACAUACAAAAAUACCCUGUUGAUGAUGUUAAAAUUCCCAUCAGGGAGACCUGGAUUUAGUUUAGAAACCGGUUCUUUCUCUAUUAGCUAGAAAUGUUGAAAUAAACUGAAGAAUGACAUACAUAUAUACAUACAUACAUACAUACAUACAUACAUACAUACAUACAUACAUGCAUGCAUACAUACAUACAUACAUACAUACAUACAUACAAGGUUUGAGACGAACGUGAGAAGGCCAAAUUCAAAUGACGUAAAAAUGUGUGUGUGUAUGUAUGUACAUAUAUAUAUGUAUGUACUUAUUUAUGCAUAUACUUAUGGGUAUCGUGGAAAAUUCAUGGAUCAGAAAUUGCUUUGUGGUUCAUUUUAUUGUUAAUUUAACUUGUAGAACACUGUAUUAAUUGUAUAAAAACGUGUCCGUCUGUAUCAUUUAAUAUAACGUAUGAACAAAUAUUUGUCUACCACUUUACAAUUUAUUUAUGAGCAGCUAACCUUAUGUACGUUUCCACUCAAUAUCAAUGAAACACAUUGACAAAAUACAAAUUAUACAUAGAUAAUUAAACUUAUAUACGUUUCUACUCCGCAUUCGGCUAGCUAAACAAUCUGGCAGGGUAGAUAUAGUAAAAGUAUCACAGAUUAGGUAACUAAAAUGUAUCUCACUAUUUCCAUGUAAUUCAAACAUAUCUAACUAUAAUAGCUGCUAGAUUUCUAGAUACCUAAAUGUACAUAUCAUAGGGACCAUGAAACAAAUGAUUGACACAUGCUGCUAAUAUGUAUGUAUGUAUGUAUGUAUGUAUGUAUGUAUGUAUGUAUGUAUGUAUGUAUGUAUGUAUGUAUGUAUGUAUGUAUGUAUGUAUGUAUGUAUGUAUGUAUGUAUGUAUGUAUGCAUGUAUGUAUUUAAAUAUACAUACAUACAGUUUCCCUUGCUUGUCCAUACAACCCUGAGCCCAAAUAUGGUCUUGUGAUCUGAAAAGGCCACGAAAAUGAUCGUAAUUGAACUAGCAAUCCCGUGGGAAGAGGGGUUUGAUGAGGUCUAUGAACGGAAGCAUGCCAGAUAUGAGAGUCUUUUGAAGGAUUGCAGGGAGAAGGGACGGCAGGUAUGGUUUUUCCCGGCCGAGGUUGGCUGUAGAGGAUUCCCUGCUCAGCUGGCAUGGAAGAUGCUUACAGCAAUUUGAAUAAGAGGUAAGGAGCGAAGGGUAGCUGUACGCAAGAUGGAAGAAGCAGCUGAAAGACCCUUUUGUUGGCUUUGGUGUAAGAGAGAAGAGUUAAGCUGCAGGCCAGGAGGAGAUGAGAAACAGUGUCUUGGCCAUCUCUGCUGAUCCACUAGCGGGAGGGUGUUACGGUUCAGGGUCAAAACACCCGAUGAACGUUGGAUACUGUCUGACGACAUCAGUUCUUCCUGGCCAAGGCUCCAUUCACUUUGGUGAAUAGAUAAAGCACAUCCUUAUAGGUGUUAUUAACACACGCACACAUAUGUAUGUAUGUAUAUAUGUAUGUAUAUAUGUAUGUAUGUAUGUAUGUAUGUAUGUAUGUAUGAAUGUAUGUAUGUAUGUAUGUAUGGUUAUUGAAAGACGGAAGAUGGAAUAUACGAGAAUUUUUAUUAAUCACAAUUGUUUCGAUACAUCUAGCAUCGAUCUCUCACAGGUGGGACACUUAACAACUGGUUUAGGAGCAUCCGGCAGUGCAAAUGUGUGUCAUCAAGUGAUAAAUAGAUACAACUCGUUAAAAUAAUAGUUCCGCGAUGUAUCUUCUCAUUUCAAAGAAAGAAAAGCAGCAAAAGGAAGGAAUAUCUUUGUUUAUAUAGAUCAAUAAAUAAAAUCACAGAUGCAAAAAGGAAGCGAACACGCAAUACAGCGAGAAAAGUAUCAAAAAUAACCGUUAAUAGAUAUGGAUGUAUAAACGCCUUCUCACAAGUUACAUGGUGCAUGCACACUCGCUCAUACAAGCAUCUACGAAAAUGUAAGUAUACAUGUAUGUAUGUAUGUAUGUAUGUAUGUAUGUAUGUAUGUAUGUAUGUAUGUAUGUAUGUAUGUAUUAUAUAUGAGUGUAUAUGUGUGUAUUAUGUAAGUGAGAAAAAAGAGUAAACGUGCAGAAUAUAUCUAGACAUUAUAAAUACCAUUUAUCUAAACAACUAUACUUGAACAACUAUAAAAUUUUAUUCACAUUUCGCCCAUUAGGUACGAACAAAAUCGGAAUUAGAUAUUUUACAAUUUUAAUCAUACAUCUUAACUAAACAAAAUAUUCCCCUAAAGCUCAUUUGUCCUCAUAAAAGGUGGAGUGAGGCCAUGAAUAAUACCCUAGUACUCUUAUGCGUAGAUUAAACACUUAUUCUAGUUAUGUGCAAUGGUAUAGUUGAACUCAAGUGCUACAAGCCAAAAAUAUCAUUUAUCAAUUUUAUUGCUAUACCGCUGGUUACAGUAGUAAACCAUAAGAAUAUUUAUUAGUAAUUAAAACUAGGUUAACUUAACCAUUGAGAAGUGUUUCUGCCAAGGACAAGUUGAUUCAAGGACAAGUUGAUCACUUCUAAAAGAAACAAACUUAAAUCUCUACUGUACGUCUAGUAAACUGUGAUUUCAGCUGACUGGUACACAACAAUACUGGAUGUUAAUAUUGGUUUCAAAUUUGAGCACAAGACCAUAAAUUUAAAGGGGUGGAGGUAAGUCGAUUAUAUUGACCCCAGUGCUCAACUGAUACUUAUUUCAUCAACCCCGAAAGGAUGAAAGGCAAAGUCAGCCUCGGUAGAAUUUGAACUCAAAACGUAAACACGGACAAAAUAUCGUUAAGCCUUUUGCACGGCGCGGUAUCGAUUCUGCUAGCUCGCCGUCUUUUUCAGUGUUGAUAUUGAUUUGUAACAAAAAAGGAAAAACAAAGUUGACCUUCGAUGGAUUCUUGAUCGAAAUGUAAAUUCAGCAAGAGCAAGGCAUAAUGUCCAACGUUCGAAUAAUACUAAUAUUUCUUAAAAAUUAAUUUUGUUUCGAAGUUACUUCUGGUAGAGUCCGGUGUAACUCUAUGUGUUAAAUUUGUAAAAUUAGCUGUCAUUAAAUAACCAGAGUAGACAGCAGACGUAAAAUAGAAUAAAUUGUUAACAAAAGACUUUAACAUUAUAAGACAAUGUACAGUAGAUCUCUCGUGUUAAAACAUUAGGAAAAAUAUUUAGAUCAUAAUACCCAGUUCUUAUACACAUUCACGAGUUACAAAACUAACAAACAUGGGAAAACAAAGAGUUUAUUUUUUGCGUGAUAUAUGGCCACACAGCCUCUCUGUCUGUCUGUCUGUCUGUCUCUCUCUCUCUCUCUCUCCUUUUCUCUCGCUGCACCAGUUACUUUGAAACGUUCUAGUUUUUUUUUUUUUUUUUUUUGCAACUUUAAAAGAAAAUUCUUCUGUGGAAGACGUUUCUCUUCAGAUGAUUUGCCACUUUUUAUUUCAUUCGGCUUUUCUUCAGAAGACAACUUAGAAAAGAAAGAUUCACAGUUCGUAUUUCAACAAGUUUUGAAUAAUGGAAUAAAAGAUUCCUGAAAAUUAGUUCAAUCAACAAAGCAAACGACGUAAUCGGUGAGCAUAAAUAACUGACAUAUCAGAAGCCUUAAAGAAUGACAACAUUUUUUUCUAAAUACGUACAGUGUACUUUAUUUUAUCGAAUGCGAAAAGGCGGAAAGGCAAAGAUGACCCAGCAGAAUUUGAAUACAGAACGCAAAGAACCGAAACGCAUAUAGCAAUGCACUUUUGUUCAACGCUUAAAUAUGUUCAAAACAUAUUUGUACUCUUGCAGUGUAGCGAAGCUUAUAUUUUAGUAGAAGUUUUUUUUUUUUUCUGGAAUGAUUUCAUUGUAUACGCAUCUGGAAUAUUUUGUAGAAAUUUGCUGUGCUAUUAUUGUAUGAGUUAAUUGUAAAUGUCGUUGCCUAACUUGUACAACUACUUUGUCUACGUGAUAAUUUGUUGCUAAUCUGAAACUUACUAUCAGAGAUACUAUCUCAAGGACUUCCUCUUGUCACAUGAUAGACAGUCGAAAUACUUUUAGAUAAAGAUACCAACUUGGGAUCGCCCAUUUAAUGAAAGAAUUAUAAUGUUGCUUUCAAAAAGGUUGCAUUGAAGCAGUUGUGUUCUGUAGAAGUAAAUUGUGGACAAGAACAGAAAUAUUAAUAGAAGAAAUGAAUGCUUAUUGCUAAAGCACAAACUUUCUCAGCUAAUAGCAUUUCAGUCCAUUAAAAUUCAUUUUGACUCUACAUGCUUUGUAAAGAUUAUAUACAAUAUAUAUAUAUAUAUAUAUAUAUAUAUAUAUAUAUAUAUAUAUAUACUUGUAUAUGUGUGUGUAUGUGUGUGUGUGUGUGUGUGUGUGUGUGUGCGUGUGUGGAGGCGCAAUGGCCCAGUGGUUAGGGCAGCGGACUCACGGUUGUAGGAUCGCGGUUUCGAUUCCCAGACCGGGCGUUGUGAGUGUGUGUAAUACUGGCUAGUGUUUUGAUCACAAAAAUAAAGGUAUGCAGCCUUGGGGUAUAUUUACGAGAGGGAUAUAUGAUGAUCUGUCCGUUGCAAUACUAGAUUUAAAACUAAGACGGUGACCUCGCAGAAUCGUUAGAUUGCCAGGCAAAAUGCCUAACAAAAUUUCGUCCGUUUUAAAUUCUACCGAGGUCGACUUUGCUUUCAUCCCCUCGGGGCCGCGGACGAUGUAAUCGACUCACCCCUCCCCCGAAAUUGUUGGCCUUGUGCCAAAAUUUAAAACCAAUAUUAGAUUUAAAACUAUAAUUUCCCGAAGAGCCAUAAAUUUUACCAGCUGCUCAUUAAGAGUAGUACAAAGGUGAGCUAUAGCUACAAUUACCAUUUAUCUUACAUUUGGUGAGUUAGUUUUGACAUUCUUGAGAAAAUAUUUCACCUGCAGACACUUACCUAAAUUAAGCGCAUUCAUCAGCGGGCUGAGUGAGUACAGCCGACUAUAAGAUUGAUUAAAUAAGACAUUUAUUAUCUUGUGUAUAAACACAUAAAAUAGAUACUUGAUGAUUCAAAGUGCAUUGAGCAUUUCUAUGAUAAUUAUGGUAUAUCAAACAAAUACAAUAUAUUUAUAAGUAUAUGUGUGUGUAUGUACGAAUGCGUGUGUAUGUGUGUACGUCCAUAUGUAAGGGAGAGAUAUGGAUAAAAUACUAGCAUCCAUUCAGUAAUAUAUAUCCUACCACCUAUUGCAUAUACUGAGUAAUUUAGUCUGUUUUUCUCCCUUUCUCUUCCUGUCUUCUUUUUAAUGAAUUCAUACAUAUACACGUAUGUAUUGUGUGCACACGCCGCCUGUGUACAUUUGUGUGUGUGUGUGUGAAGCAUGCUUAAAGAAUGCUGUACUUGAUUGACCACACAAACAAUAUAAUAGCAAACUAAACUAAAGGAAUUAAUAAAUCGUCAUCUACGUUUUGGUAGUCCGUAGUUAACACAGACAACUAGGGGUGGGUUUCACUAAAGAUUGGAAGCAUUUUUUUCAAGAGCAGUGGGAAAAGCACAUGUAGAUACGAACUUGUGAGGUGCAUGUGUGCCAAAAGAAAUGCGAAUCGUUAUUUCACAAAUUCAUAGAUUUGUAACUUAUAUGCAACAUUUGUUUCGGCACUGAAACCAUUUUUUCUUUUGUGGGUUGGGUGAAUUGGCAGAAUGAUUAAAGUAUCAGACAAAAUGCCUUUUGGUACUUGUUCUAGCUUUCUUUCCUCUCUCAGUUAAAAUAUCACAAAGGUCAACUUUACUUUCAUCUCUUCAGGAUCAUUAAAAUAAAGUACCAAUCAAUAGGGAGGGACUAGCGGAACGCAAAGAGCCGUCAGAAAUAGCAAAAGUUAAAUAAUGCUUCGAGGAAUCUCUUGCAGCUCUCCACCUUCUAAAUUCCUGAACCAAUUACUUGAUUUACCCCCUGUUUAAUAUCACCAUCUAGUUCUUGAAUGCAUUUAGCGGACUUCAUUCUGACACAAGCAUUCGGCUAUGUCUCUGGUGUAAAGAUUAUCUUCUCUUCAUUCCACCAGCUUCGAUUUCUAUAGCACAAGUCACAGUUAAGAACUAUUGGUCCUGAUCUGUGGAAUGCUCAGCAAAUUUAUCUCAUGAUUUUCCUACUUGUCUAAACGGUUAAAAAAUCUAUGAGUUUCAGAAAUAUUUAUCUGCGGGUGGCUCCAAAUGUGUAAUAGGGGUGCAAUUUCAACGUUAUUAUGUUCGAUGUGGUAUGUCAAUGAAAUCUCCCACAAAUCUCAGCUAGUCGUCUUACAAAAAAGUGGAACACAUUGGAUACUAAAUUUGAACAGAAGACGAAAUGAUCACUACUGGUAUGUUUUGGAUCAUUGUUAUGCACGAUCAGUGCUAACCUGGUGAUAAAGAACAACAAUAACAACAGUGUUUUGUAUUUUUAAACACAAUAAGUAUAAAUUAUUCCUAUUGCCUAGACAUUUCGCAAGCGUGAGAUUUCUUUUAAAUACGUCAAAAUUAGUUUGUGUUUGGUGCAUUACAGUUUAGCAGCUGGCAUUUUUCGUUUCUUUUUCCCUUCAUUGCUAUGAUUGAUAUUGUCCUUAACAUCUAACACAUUAUUUAUUUACGUAUCGGUUUUAAUAAUAAUGGGGUCUGUUUUUACAAGACUAAAUAAAUUCUGAAUGUAAGGAAAGAUAUCAACAAUAAAAGAGUCUGGAAUUUUUUUUUAAGAACAAAAUUAGUCUUUAGGAAACGCGUACUGUUUACUUAUGUUUAUGCUAUGCUAUCAUGGAAAGCAAUACAGUUCUGUUAAAACUACUUUAAGCCAUUCUUUAAAUGUUUAUCCCAUUGGCAAUACGAAUUGCUUUCCAUAGGUUUUUUUUUAAACGCUUAAUUAUCUUUAUAAAUAUAAUAGGCACGCAUUUAUUCUGUCAAUUGUUGGUAUUAAAACACUUUCCUAAAGACAUUAAUUGUAUAAAUAAACAUAUUUUCAGCUUCUUCAAUAUAAACUUAUGGGAUAACAUGCGAAAUAUCAGUUGUGAAUUCCCACCUAUUUUCUACCAAUUCCUUUUAUUCGGCACACAGGCCAUGACACAGAGGGUACAACACAAGAACAUAACAAAAAACAUUAAGGGGAUGGGGUUAUACCUUAGUUAAAAAAUCGAAUAUAAUGAAAUCAGAUGAAUUUACACAGUACAAUGAAAUCGAAAGGAAUUUUAAAAUUAUACGUUGAUAUAUUUUUCGUGUUCGUGUUCGACCCGCCGGUUUUUUCUUUUUUUUUUAAUUUUUUAUAAUACCCCCUUUUUUAAUUAAUUUUUCCUUCCGUCUUUUCCUUCUUUUCCGUUCAGACCGGCUACACUACCGCGGCCCCGUUUACUCUCAACUUCCUUAUGACAUUUUCAGACAGGCAUCUCUUCUAGAGACUGAUCUUUCUGGACAGGUGGUAGUUAAAAAAAAAUAAACCAACCCGUGUCCGGAGAUAAAGUCGCCAGUCUCAAUUCCUCUUCUACGCGUCACCCAUACUGUCUCUUUCAAUACAGCUACUAAGAAGAAAAAUGACGCUUCCUUUUUCUUAUUAAAGGAGGGAGGCGGCACAAUCUUGAUGAUAGACUCAAUCGAUAACCGUACUCUUUCCGUAUCUGACACCAUUUGUUCGACAUAGGUUAUCAGUCCCCUAAAUUCCUCACAAUGUACGAAGGCGUGCGUGACAGUUUCGCUGACACGCCCGUACCUCGGUCACGUGGGUGGGAUACCAGCUCCAUGCCUUGACAGCAUCUCUCGAACUGGCAAAGCCGAUCAGUAGCACAUCCAGGUCAGGGAUUUCUGGAAAUUGUCCAGAUACCUCGGCCCAAAUAUUCUUCCGAAAAGGUUGACAAGCUGUUCCUCGUCGAAGCUUAGAGUAUCCCCCAGGACGUCGUCGGACAUGUGCUCUACCAGCCUGCUAUAAAAACCUGUAGUGGUAGCCCCGCUGCCGGUAUUGCUCACUCGGGAGAACAGAGCAAGUGCAUGUCUUCACUUCCUCUGCCAUUCACUCAUGUUCGGUCUCCUCGUGAUCUAUGCUCCUACGUCCUGCAGGGACGUCAAUUGUGGCAGGAAGAACUUGACAUGCGGUGACCACACCCGUUCACCAUACAGGUAGAGCCAGAUGUGUCUCAGCGUCAGCGCAUACAUGCGCAUCAUCAGCCAAGGCAUCCCUAACUUACCCUUUCACGGUUUCUGGCAGCAGAUGGAGCGCCUCACAAGUGGUGGUUUCCCAUUCCUCAAAAAGCGGAAAAGGAUCCAUUCUAGCCUGGUCAGCCACACCCCGGGGCACGGCACAACGGUUAGGCGAUAGGUUAUCACAGAUGCUAUAAACACUUGUGCAACCUCGGCCCUCCCUAGCAAGGAUAGCAACCUCACAGAUCAAGUCUGGGUUAUGGCCGUCACCUUGCCCGUGACGUCGCUCCAGUUUUUCUCCAUCUGGAGAUCUGGUCCGAACCAGAACCCAAGCAAUUUAACCGGACACUCCGUCCAUCGUCCCACGACGCUGUUGGGAGGCAUCGACUUCCCCUCCACCCCUCCUAUUUUCUACUGCAUGUCAAGUAAGUUAUUACAGGAUAUAUAAUGUAUCAAAAAGUAUCAGUAGGUUGUAACUACUUUAGGGAGAAAGAGAGAUUAAAACCUGAAAUUCUAAAAGCUUCAAAUGUAAUUUCAAAUGAUAUCUUGAAGUCGGAAAAGUGUUAUUAAUUGUUGUAUUCAACAUACAAAUACUCUCAGAUUCAUAUCAGCUGAUGGCCUAUCUGCAACAUGUUAUUAUUACAGAACAGAAAGUUUUCACUCAAUCACUCGUAAUACCAUUACGUCAUCCAAACAGAUGUCCUUUACCAACUGCAAAGUCAUAUCUUGAUUGUAAACAGAAACCAAACACAAGUGAUCAGAAAAUUUAAAUCCUCAGAUUUUUAAUGAUUCAAUGACAUUCGAUAACAUAUUGUUAUAUAUGGGCUCAGAGAUUAUUCCUUAUGUGACGCAAAUCUGUUGGCGAUAAGGACUGCAUGAUUUUUUUAGUUGGUAUCUAAUUACCGGCUUUAUGUCAGACAAAAUGUAAAGUGAAAACCUUUGAUUGUUUCAUUUAUGUAAAACAUUUACUAGAUAUUUCACAUAUUCCAAAACCUCGAUGUGUAACAUAAUACAUAAGAAUUUAUAUCUAUGCCACACCUUCGUUAAUCAAGGAUAUCAUUAAAGUAUAAGUACAUAGUUUUGUAACACUAUAAGAAUGCCUCUAAAAGCUAAAGCUUUUAGUGCAAUUUUAGUAUCGCUUUUCGUGUCUCCUUCAGUUUCAAAGUUUAAACUAGAACGUUCAAUCAGUCGAUUUUCCAAAUAUUUUUAAACAACGUUUCUCUCGAUUGAUUUUCCAGGACUUUUAUGAAGUUUACUGCGUCUUGACGGUCGAAAAUGUGCUGAAGUUUAUUUCCUUUUCUCUUGAUUCUGCUGUGGUUUGUCUAGAGUUAAAAAUUCAGUUUUUACAUCUAUAGCACGGUUUUCGAUAAUGAUAAUCAAUCCCAGAAGCCGAUAUAGAAAGGAGACAUUUGGGUAUUUUAUUGUUCUUCCGUUCAGAAUGAGUGACUGUACUUAAUAUUUACUGUAUUAAUAAUCUUCGAUAUGAUCACACAUUAAGGUCAGCAUGUUCUUUUUAAAGGUGUUGACUAUUUACAACAUAAUUAUCUAAAUGUGAACUAUUCAUAUAUAAAAAACGUUUAAAACAGAAAAUUAUAUAACAAAAGCCUUCGGGAUUAAAUUCUAUAAAAAUCGUGUCUGGAAUCGUUCUAAAUUUUAAGCCCUUGUGGAUAAUAAAAAAAUCAAUUUUAAGCCAUUUUGACUUAAAAUCUUUGAUAGCAUGUUACACAAAAUUAAUUUUUCAAAAUGUGGUAGAUUCUCACAAGACAUUUCACUUUUUAAAAAAAUCGUUUGAAUAACUACAAUGAGUCAAGGUUUUCAUAAUAAUACGUGACUGUGCUGAUUAUUGAAAGUUAGUAUAAUCUAGAUUUGUUGGUUAAUUAUAUUUUUGUGAACAGAAAUUUUUGUUAUAAUUUUUACUCUUUGUUUCAGCGGUUUUAUAACAUUACACUAAAGUGUAGAAUAUCGGAAGAAACACUUUAGCGUUUAAUUACGUUCCUUUCAAACCUCGUUUGAUCGACUUUGUCACUUACCAUGCCAAGAUCGACAAAAUAAUUAACAGUUGUAUAUCGAAUUCGAUUUGAUUGAUUGUAUUCUUUCUUCUAUAUGAUUCUAGUCUUUAUAGCUCUUGCAAAAAUGAUUUUUCUUUAUUAUAAUUCUAUUCACAUCUAGGAUGAAUUAGAGAAAUAUUAAAUAGACACCAAGACUUGAGUGGUACCAUAUCUUCGAUUUCGGAAAAAGAAAAAGACCAAAUUUACUUCAGCAGGACUUGAACUCAGAAAAAGAAGUGCCGUAAGUACAAACCGCAGGAAAUUUGUGCGACGAAUCUGCCAAAUCCACCGUCUUUUAUUUCUCUUGGCAGAUUUUCGCAUUCCUUUCCAGUUUCAGUAAUGAUCAGAGAAUAUCUAUGAAAGCCCGCCGAAAGUAAUCACUGGACAGUUUACACUCUAAACGUUGUAAUAUUUUAAUUAAAAUCUAAAUCUCUGGGUCAUGGAUACAAUGCAAAGUCAGUAAGAAGGCAUGACCUGCCGUCAUUUUAACAGGAAGGUUGUCUUCUAUCUAAUGCAGUUGGUUAUAUGAUAUUUA
rnacentral:lncRNA from 1 species